rnacentral:misc_RNA from 1 species
GAGGAAGAGAAAGUACAGUGAAGAUGACGACGAAGACGAUACCUUUUACUACCGAUACUCCUCCGCACCAUCACCGGCGCCGUCGUCGUCUUCCGUCACAUCCAAAAACGUUUCCAUUUCAAAAUCCUCUCACGGCGGCGGCGGCGGAAUCAGCGGCAGCGGUGGACUAGCUCCAUCAAAAUCAACAGUUUACGUGAGUAAUCUCGAUUAUACCUUGACAAAUUCCGAUCUCCAUACAAUCUUCUCCAAUUUCGGCAAGGUUGCAAAGGUAACUGUAGUUAAAGAUCGGGUUACUCGAAAGAGCCGUGGGGUAGCAUUCAUCCUUUUCAUUUCUAGAGAAGAUGCGAUUAAAGCUGUGAAAGGAAUUGAUAAAAAAUUACUGAAUGGACGAACCCUAACUGCGUCAAUUGCUUCUGAUAAUGGCCGUGCAGCUGAAUUUAUUAGGAAGAAGGUUUAUAAGGAUAAAAGUAGGUGUUAUGAGUGUGGGGAAGAAGGGCAUUUAUCGUAUGAGUGUCCGAAGAAUCUGUUUGGGCCAAGGGAAAGGCCUG